rnacentral:rRNA from 1 species
AGAGAAGCAAGACUGUGAAGAGGAGCCAAACUCAAAAACCGGUCCCAGUUCGGAUUGUAGGCUGCAACUCGCCUACAUGAAGUCGGAGUUGCUAGUAAUCGCGGAUCAGAAUGCCGCGGUGAAUGCGUUCCCGGGUCUUGUACACACCGCCCGUCACACCAUGGAAGUUGGGGGCGCCCGAAGUUGGUCGGGAAAUAGAUUACCUAAGGCGAAACCAAUGACUGGGGUGAAGUCGUAACAAGGUACC